rnacentral:rRNA from 1 species
GAUGAACGCUAGCGACAGGCCUAACACAUGCAAGUCGAGGGGCAGCACAUGAGUAGCAAUACGAUGGUGGCGACCGGCGCACGGGUGAGUAACACGUAUGCAACCUGCCUGUAAGAGGGGAAUAACCCGGAGAAAUUCGGACUAAUACCGCAUAAUACCACGAGACUGCAUGGUUUUGUGGUUAAACAUUUAUGGCUUACAGAUGGGCAUGCGUAUGAUUAGAUAGUUGGUAGGGUAACGGCCUACCAAGUCUACGAUCAUUAGGGGUUCUGAGAGGAAGGUCCCCCACACUGGUACUGAGACACGGACCAGACUCCUACGGGAGGCAGCAGUGGGGAAUUUUGGACAAUGGGGGCAACCCUGAUCCAGCCAUGCCGCGUGAGUGAAGAAGGCCUUCGGGUUGUAAAGCACUUUUGGCGGGAGCGAAACGGCGUUUGCUAAUACCAGACGCUAAUGACGGUACCCGCAGAAUAAGCACCGGCUAACUACGUG